rnacentral:rRNA from 1 species
CCUACGGGAGGCUGCAGUCGAGAAUCAUUCACAAUGGGGGAAACCCUGAUGGUGCGACGCCGCGUGGGGGAAUGAAGGUCUUCGGAUUGUAAACCUCUGUCAUGUGGGAGCAAAUGAAAAAGAUAGUACCACAAGAGGAAGAGACGGCUAACUCUGUGCCAGCAGCCGCGUUAAUACAGACGGCUCAAGCGUGGUUCGGAAUCACUGGGCGUAAGGCGUGCGUAGGCUGUUUCGUAAGUCGUGUGUGAAAGGCGCGGGCUCAACCCGCGGACGGCACAUGAUACUGCGAGACUAGAGUAAGGGAGGGGGAAGCGGAAUGCGCGGUGUAGCAGUGAAAUGCGUAGAUAUCGAGAGAAACACUCGUGGCGAAGGCGGGUUCCUGGACAUUAACUGACGCUGAGGCACGAAGGCCAGGGGAGCGAAAGGGAUUAGAUACCCUUGUAGUC